rnacentral:rRNA from 1 species
AAGAUGGCGACCGGCGCACGGGUGAGUAACACGUAUCCAACCUGCCGAUAACUCCGGAAUAGCCUUUCGAAAGAAAGAUUAAUACCGGAUAGUAUACGAAUAUCGCAUGAUAUUUUUAUUAAAGAAUUUCGGUUAUCGAUGGGGAUGCGUUCCAUUAGUUUGUUGGCGGGGUAACGGCCCACCAAGACUACGAUGGAUAGGGGUUCUGAGAGGAAGGUCCCCCACAUUGGAACUGAGACACGGUCCAA